CCUACGGGUGGCAGCAGUGAGGAAUAUUGGUCAAUGGCCGUAAGGCUGAACCAGCCAAGUCGCGUGAAGGAAGAAGGAGCUAUGGUUUGUAGACUUCUUUUAUAGGGGAAUAAAGGUAUCCACGUGUGGAUAUUUGCAUGUACCCGAUGAAUAAGCAUCGGCUAACUCCGUGCCAGCAGCCGCGGUAAUACGGAGGAUGCGAGCGUUAUCCGGAUUUAUUGGGUUUAAAGGGGGCGUAGGUUGGUUUUUAAGUCAGCGGUGAAAGUGUGGGGCUCAACCCCAAAAUUGCGUUGGAAACUGGAAGCCUUGAGGGUGUUUGUGGUAGGCGGAAUGCGUGGUGUAGCGGUGAAAUGCAUAGAUAUCACGCAGAACUCCGAUUGCGAAGGCAGCUUACCAAGCCAUCACUGACACUGAAGCACGAAAGCGUGGGGAUCAAACAGGAUUAGAUACCCCUGUAGUC
rnacentral:rRNA from 1 species